UCCCCAGGGGCAAUGGUCAGGCCCCUGAGACCUCUGCCCCUCCCUCGUUUCUCCCUCUCGGGAGUUGAGGCCCAGGCACACACAUCUGGGCUGUUUCUCAAGCUUGUCUGGGACUCACACCACACCGUUGGCCAUGCAGGACCUGAGUGCUACAACCACCGCACUCCGUAAAUGCCGUGCCUCUGUUCCUGUGCCAAGGGGGCCAGCCCAAGCUGGGCUGAGAAUUUCGAUUUCCCAGAAAGUCUGAAGAAGUAGGUGCAAACAUGAGUCAGCAUUCUUUGCCUUGACUCGUAUAUGCAAGUGCUUGAAUUUCACAGUGGUUCCCAAUGUCCUGAAGUGUGGCCAUUGAACUGGGCUCUGGAGACAAAGAAUUGUACUGACUUUCCCCUCUGGAGUCCAGGGAGUCAUAACUAGAGGAUCAGGGGGUCCAGGACGACUCAGGGCAAACCUGGAUUGGAGGAAAGUUACAUUCUCAUCGUCACCAACCUCUUGCUGAAAUUCGGCAUGUCUUUAAUUAUGGAUGCAAUCAAUAAACCACAGGAGACUGCAGUUCUGCAGCAUCAUCGUGCCGGUUAGUUUAUUUUACAUUAAAAUCAGGCACUGCAGAAGCUGAGGCACCGGCUGCGGAUGGGAAACCGGGGAGGCAGCGCAUGCACUGGACGCGUUGCCGGAGAAGAGGGGACCCUGACCACUCGGAAGUCUGAAUACACGGUAGCACGGAGCGUGACCUCGUGGAGACUGACAUCUGGAGUCACUGGAAGAUCUAGUUACGAGGGUCCGUGGUUGGAAGAUGGCACUCUGUCUCAGGCAGUCUCUGUUGGAGCCAGUUCCCUGAGUUUAGCAAACCGUGUGCGCGGCUGGUGUGUGAAUUCAGUGCUCUGUGAACUAGAGGAACGCGUGCAAGCCACGGACAGGCCGAGUGAAGCUGAGGAAGUCCAGCUUGAGGCCCAGCCCACACCUGGCUCAGCUCUGGAAGAGGCUCACAAGGAAGCCCUGGCCUGGACCUGCAGCCAGGGGUACAGGGGCUUUGGAGAAAAAUAGGCUUUUGAGCCUAGGGGAGAUCUCCACCGGGAGUCACAGGACGGCUCUCCUGGAAUAGU